rnacentral:rRNA from 1 species
CCUACGGGUGGCUGCAGUGGGGAAUAUUGGACAAUGGGGGCAACCCUGAUCCAGCCAUGCCGCGUGUGUGAAGAAGGCCCUCGGGUUGUAAAGCACUUUCAGUGAGGAAGAACGCCUGGUGGUUAAUACCCAUCAGGAAAGACAUCACUCACAGAAGAAGCACCGGCUAACUCCGUGCCAGCAGCCGCGGUAAUACGGAGGGUGCGAGCGUUAAUCGGAAUUACUGGGCGUAAAGCGCGCGUAGGUGGCUUGAUAAGCCGGUUGUGAAAGCCCCGGGCUCAACCUGGGAACGGCAUCCGGAACUGUCAAGCUAGAGUGCAGGAGAGGAAGGUAGAAUUCCCGGUGUAGAGGUGAAAUGCGUAGAGAUCGGGAGGAAUACCAGUGGCGAAGGCGGCCUUCUGGACUGACACUGACACUGAGGUGCGAAAGCGUGGGUAGCAAACAGGAUUAGAUACCCCGGUAGUC